GGUCUUGCGCAGAGGCGUAACGUGGCUGAUGAGGCUUCGCCGAGGUGCGUUUAUUGCUGGUUGAAAACUUCCUCAAAACCA
rnacentral:snRNA from 1 species